rnacentral:rRNA from 1 species
CAGCAGUGAGGAAUAUUGGUCAAUGGGCGGGAGCCUGAACCAGCCAAGUCGCGUGAGGGAAGACGGUCCUAUGGAUUGUAAACCUCUUUAGGCGGGGAGCAAUGCCGGGCACGCGUGCCCGGAGGGAGAGUACCCGCAGAAUAAGCAUCGGCUAACUCCGUGCC